AGGCAUCUCUAGGUACCAUCCCUGACCUGGUCCUCAUGCUGCCGAGGCUGUUGCUGUUGAUCUGUGCUCCACUCUGUGAACCUGCCGAGCUGUUUUUGAUAGCCAGCCCCUCCCAUCCCACAGAGGGGAGCCCAGUGACCCUGACGUGUAAGAUGCCCUUUCUACAGAGUUCAGAUGCCCAGUUCCAGUUCUGCUUUUUCAGAGACACCCGGGCCUUGGGCCCAGGCUGGAGCAGCUCCCCCAAGCUCCAGAUCGCUGCCAUGUGGAAAGAAGACACAGGGUCAUACUGGUGCGAGGCACAGACAAUGGCGUCCAAAGUCUUGAGGAGCAGGAGAUCCCAGAUAAAUGUGCACAGGGUCCCUGUCGCUGAUGUGAGCUUGGAGACUCAGCCCCCAGGAGGACAGGGCUCCCAGGGCCCAGGCUGCAGUGGAGGAUGUGCUGGAGCUUCACUGUGAGGCCCUGAGAGGCUCUCCUCCGAUCCUGUACUGGUUUUAUCACGAGGAUAUCACCCUGGGGAGCAGGUCGGCCCCCUCUGGAGGAGGAGCCUCCUUCAACCUUUCCCUGACUGAAGAACAUUCUGGAAACUACUCCUGUGAGGCCAACAAUGGCCUGGGGGCCCAGCGCAGUGAGGCGGUGACACUCAACUUCACAGGUCUCUCCCUCUAGUGCCUACUGGGGCCAGAAGCAAUCAUCUUACCUCAGGAGUCAUUGAGGGGCUGCUCAGCACCCUUGGUCCAGCCACCGUGGCCUUAUUAUUUUGCUACGGCCUCAAAAGAAAAAUAGGAAGACGUUCAGCCAGGGAUCCACUCAGGAGCCUUCCCAGCCCUCUACCCCAAGAGUUCACCUACCUCAACUCACCUACCCCAGGGCAGCUACAGCCUAUAUAUGAAAAUGUGAAUGUUGUAAGUGGGGAUGAGGUUUAUUCACUGGCGUACUAUAACCAGCCGGAGCAGGAAUCAGUAGCAGCAGAAACCCUGGGGACACAUAUGGAGGACAAGGUUUCCUUAGACAUCUAUUCCAGGCUGAGGAAAGCAAACAUUACAGAUGUGGACUAUGAAGAUGCUAUGUAAGGUUAUGGAAGAUUCUGCUCUUUGAAAACCAUCCAUGACCCCAAGCCUCAGGCCUGAUAUGUUCUUCAGAGAUCCUGGGGCAUUAGCUUUCCAGUAUACCUCUUCUGGAUGCCAUUCUCCAUGGCACUAUUCCUUCAUCUACUGUGAAGUGAAGUUGGCGCAGCCCUGAAGAAACUACCUAGGAGAACUAAUAGACACAGGAGUGACAGGGACUUUGUUAUCAGAACCAGAUUCCUGCCGGCUCCUUUGAAAACAGGUCAUAUUGUGCUCUUCUGUUUACAAGAGGAAACAAGAUGGAAUAAAAGAAAUUGGGAUCUUGGGUUGGAGGGACAGUGAAGCUUAGAGCACAUGAACUCAAGGUUAGUGACUCUGCAGGACUUCACAGAGAGAGCUGUGCCCAUCAUUCAGUCCAAGUGCUUUCUCUGCCCAGACAGCACAGAACUCCAGCCCCGCUACUUACAUGGAUCAUCGAGUUUCCACCUAAAAUAUGAUUCUAUUUAUUUUGAGUCACUGUUACCAAAUUAGAACUAAAACAAAGUUACAUAAAAAGUUAUUGUGACUCCACUUAAUUUUAGUGACGUAUUUUUGUAUAUAUAGGCCAACCUAUACCACAUCCAAAAUUAUGUAUCUAUUACAGCCCCUAGAAGCUUUAUAAAUACAGUGUGUCUUCUUUUAUUCACAAAAUUUUUGAAAUCGUGGUAAUAUGGUUUGAAACCUGUAUCUUAAUUAUUUUUUUUUUAAAUUGAGACAGGGUCUCACUCUGUCACUCAAUCUGGAAUGCAGUGGCACAAUCUUGCCUCACUGCAACGCCUGCCUCUCAGGCUCAAGCAAACCUCUCACCUCAGCCUGCUGAGUAGCUGGGACUACAGGCACAUGCCACCAAACUUGGCCAUUUUUUGUCUUACGUAGAGACAAGAUUUCACCGUUUUGCCCAGGCUGGUCUCAAACUCCUGGGCUCAAGCAAUGUAUUGAAUUUUAAAAUAACCAGGCACUCACUCUUAUGAAUUAAUAAACAUUUGGAGGUAUAUAAAGUAAAAAGUUAAAGUCUUUCCUGUAAGUUAACACAAAUGUUAACUAUUGUUAAAAACUUUACAGGUAGCUCUCUAGAUAUUUUUCUAUUUUUGUAUGUAUACUUAUGCAUACAUGUAAGUAUAUAAACAUUUAGAAGUGUACCUAUCUAACAAACUAUUAUGAAAUACUUUCAAAUCUGUAAAUAGAUCUAUUAUACUAUUUUAAAAGUCUCUAUAGUAGUGUGUUAUAUAGAUAAAUCAUAACUUUUUUCUUUUUUUAUUGUAGUAAAUAUGCACAACAUAAAAUUGAUCAUUUUAACCAUU
rnacentral:lncRNA from 1 species